UCACCUGAAAUUUUUAUUACACAUUUUGUAACUCACACAGAAACACUGUUAGGACAGAUUCAACAUUUUCAAAUACCUUGCAGACUUAGGCAAUACAAAAAGAUAGUUCAUGAACUGUCUUUUCAUCCCAUGUCAUAAUUGAAUCUCAAAUAAUCAUAUAGAUCUACCAUGCUAUUAAGGUUAGACUUUUCCACAAUAUCCAUCAUGGAUAACUUCCUCACAAGAAAUGCACCACAAGUAACUUCUUAGGUUCAACCUUCACAAAAAUCCCAUUGUCCAAAAUGUCAAAACAAACACCACACAGUAAAAACCUAACCUUGAUUUCUAUUUAAAACCCUUUAAUAAAAGGGUUAUAAAUGGAGUAAUAUGCUCAGAAACACGUGCUGUUAGUGAAAGUCCUACCACUUUUACAACAUCAUGCUUAUUACUUAAAAGUCACCCAUCAAUAAGACAUCUGUAGCAACGUGGUUGUAAACACUGGACCUGAGACCAUUGAUGUUUAAAACAACUAGGUUUCCUCAAUUAGUUCCUGCAGGAAAUCAAAAUAUUUUAAACACAUCCCCACUUCCCUAACAAUUCACGUUUUCUGGAGUAUCUGCUUUUCUCGUCUCCAUGUGAAAAAUGGUCUGACAGAGAAUUUCCCACCAACACCAGUGGGAUUAGCAGUCUAAGAUGUUUUUCAGACCUGGCCCAGUAGCUGCCAAAUUUCACACACAUCUGUGGGUCAAUAAGGAAGCCACCUUGGCUGUUGUAGGUUACAUCCCAGUUUCCCUGUCUGCGUCACUUGUACAGACGCAUUUACACAGGUCACAUACCCCACAUCACUUGCUGAAAAAAAACAGACAGCCAAACUGGCAGCUGAACAUAGAUAACAUAGAUAAAAUUCUAUUAUUUUUUCCUGAAAAAUCAUAAAAUCUCUAAAAUUUGGUGCCAAUGCAUCAAGGACAUUAUGUUCCUUUGUAGGUCAUCUGAUGCAGUGUGUUUAUGAAGUCCUCCAGACGCAUUACAGACCUAUACAAUAAGCCAACUCCUCCACUUCCUCUGGAAAUACUGCGUAAACAGAAAAGCCCACUACACCAUGGUCAAUGAACUGAGGUUGUAUAAAAAAUGGGGAAGACAUUUCUCUCUUUUCAUUUCUCCCCAAAGAAACCACUCUGUCACCCACACAUUUAAAAUAUUGACCCUAUCCUAUCAGAUAACAUGGAAAAUUUAUCCCACAGGAUUCUCCCCAGGUCUCUACUCCACAGCAGCUACAAUAUAAAUUAAGAGAUCCCAUAGUUUAUGGCAAAGAAAAUUGCAUUUGUUAAUGGAAGUCCUUAAUUUGGUCAAAUAUUAAUUAAAUACUCGUGUCUCAGCUUGGGGGGAAAAAACCCACAAACCAUCAAAACUUACACUAACAGGUCCUGAAAAAGCAGGCUGAAAAACUGAAAACAACAUCAAACGCAUUGUAGACUAAGCAGAUCUGAUUCUUUCCUGCCCACAUAAUCCAUGACAGAGUGGGAGGAAGUGUUCAUCCAGCUGUUUUCCACGUGGUUCCUCUGAGAAUCUCAAAAGGAUUUCUGAUGUAUGUUCUGAGUCAAUCCCUGGCCACAUUUCCUCUCCAGCCAGCAACACUAACUUUUUAUGAAUUGUUAACCAUUUAUGGGACAAUUGUCAAAGGAGUGGUUAGUGACUCACUGCAGCCCUAUGCUAACUGACUUACUACAGGAUGAGGUUGCAAACCUCAGUCAAAUCUGAGAAAUAAACUACUGAAAGCCUCUCCCUCCUCACUCACCUUUGCGGGCCAUGGAAGGGGCUUUACGCUUCCCCAGAAAAACCCAGGACACGGCCAGCCUCCUCACAGAAGUAGUGAAUGCUGCUCCUACAGUGCUUCUAAGACCAGAUCUGUGGCAAAUUUUUUAGAAUAAAAUAAGGUAAACUGAAUCUGAGGCUCAGUAGAUAAAGGACAUUUAGCUUCAAAGUACUCAUAAUCUCACUUUCGUAUGAAUUGUUUUACAUGUGCUUUGAAUACCCAUUUAGAUUAUUCUACCUCCAGUAAUCACUUUGCUGGUUUAAGACUACACACAUUCACAAAAAGUCCAGUUACGUUUUAAGAACAAAGCCAAGUAUUCUCAGGGACUCUAGAAGUAACAAAAUACUUGCAUGUUAACACAUAAAGAAUAACAUUAUGAAAAAAAAUAAAACUCAGGUCUGCUAAUAGGAAUUGCACCUGAUGAUUUUGCUUUAGCCUAAUAGACUUGGACUUUUCAAAUCCCAAUAUUUUGAUGGCCAGCAGUGCAUUUAGUGAACUACCCAACUGAUGCUAGCAGAGAAUCUGAACCAGUAUCUUGAGGAAUUUGGACUAAGUCCACCAUUUCAGCAGCAAACAUGUCCAUAGCCUGUGCCAUCCACUGCCCCUCCCUGCCUUCUAAUUCUGUUUCACUUUGGAGAAGAGCUAAUGGCUCUAAUUAGGAGAUUAGCUGACAUGGAUUGUCAUGAGUACAAGGUGAAAGGCUUUGUACCACUCUAACCAAGUAGUACGAAUUGCACAACAUGGAUAAGUUGUUUGACAGAUCCUGGGAAAUGUGGUCUUUUCUUUGCUUUUGCUGAUUCAUGGGAUCAUGCAACUCCCCAUAAAAGGAUGAGCAGAAGUUCAGCAAGUGGUCUACUUCAGAGCCCUUUCUAUGCCUACAGAUUCAUAGACUAAGCUACCAGAUGACUUCUAAGAAAGAGAAAUACCAGGCAACCACAUUCAUGAUGGAAUAAAUAUCUUUAUUUUUAUUCUGUGUCUAUUUCUGAGCUAGUGGAGUAAGUCUUGGAAUCUGCAUAUUAAGCAAAAGCCUACUAACGUAACUUUAACCAGACCUCUCAGAAUUUUGAGAUGUAUUUAUUAAAAUUUUAAAGAAAUAUCCUGGUGAGCAUUUUGGGAAAGGAACUAAUUGGCACACAAAACCUGAGGCAAGCCAGAAAUAUCUGAAGCCAGCUACAAGCCUAUCAUGAUGAUAAACAGCUCAGGGUCCAGAUGUCCAUAUAUGGCAAGACUUCCUAUAAGACUGACAGUACUGUAUGUGCAUUGCGUAUGGUUGUUGGAUCAGAUUCACAUUCCUCGGGUAUGUUUCUCUGGGAGCUUUUGAUUUCCGCUUUGAGGGCUGGCUCAGACCUCCAAUUGCUCUUAUAAAAAAAUAUCUGUGACUGAAAGUUGAAAAUGUGCAAGAUUCUUUCUUUAAGUACACAAACACUCCAAGUCUAGCCACUUUCCUGUAGUCUUGCCAGGUUUUCACUAUGUCUGAUACCUGAUCAAGUGACUUUCUGGGGGGAAGCAGGGGAAAAAAAAAAAGAAGGAAAAACACAAGAGAGGAAUGUAGCAAUCCACACCUGUACAUUUUACAAGACUUCACCAACCGAAGCUGAUGUAGACACACACAUACCGUAUAUAGCUGUGUAAACAAGUCUACAAGGCUGGUGUAGUGAAUUCCUAGUUUCAGCAGAAAAAAUAUACUAUCUUAAAAGCAUGUCCUGUAUAAACACCUGCAUGGAAGUCAAAAUUAGUGCAUUUUAACCAUUUUAUGCAUCAGUGCCAAGAUGUACUUGUCCAACCUGUGGCAUACUCAAGAGCCACCUGGAUGUGGCAUCUGGGGAUACUGUUUGGGGGUGAUUAUGGUGGGGUGAUAUUGCUGGCUGUACUAAAUGAUGAAGGUCUGUUCCAACCUUGAGGAUUCUGUGGUUGUCAUCAGAAAGGAUAAGCUGAAGAGAGAUUGGAGUCUGCAAGAACUGCCUUUGCUUUCAAGUUCCCUUAGCCCCUGUGCGUACAUACACACGCACCAGUGAGGUACCCGUUGUUAGACACAUCUAACAACACUGAAACCAAGAUGACCAGAGGCACUCC
rnacentral:lncRNA from 1 species